rnacentral:rRNA from 1 species
UACGUAGGGUCCGAGCGUUGUCCGGAAUUACUGGGCGUAAAGAGCUCGUAGGUGGUUUGUCGCGUUGUUCGUGAAAACUCACAGCUCAACUGUGGGCGUGCGGGCGAUACGGGCAGACUGGAGUACUGCAGGGGAGACUGGAAUUCCUGGUGUAGCGGUGAAAUGCGCAGAUAUCAGGAGGAACACCGGUGGCGAAGGCGGGUCUCUGGGCAACAACUGACGCUGGAGGAGCGGAAAAGCGUGGGGAGCGAACAGG